rnacentral:rRNA from 1 species
AGAUUGAACGCUGGCGGCAUGCCUAACACAUGCAAGUCGAACGGGAGUAGCAAUACUCUAGUGGCGGACGGGUGAGGAAUACGUAGGAAUUUGCCCUUAAGUGGGGGAUAACCCGGGGAAACCCGGAUUAAUACCGCAUGACCUCGAAAGAGCAAAGUGGGGGAUCGCAAGACCUCACGCUUUUGGAGAAGCCUACGUCGGAUUAGCUAGUUGGUGAGGUAAUGGCUCACCAAGGCGACGAUCCGUAACUGGUCUGAGAGGAUGAUCAGUCACACCGGAACUGAGACACGGUCCGGACUCCGUACGGGAGGCAGCAGUGGGAAUAUUGGACAAGUGGGCGCAAGCCUGAUCCAGCAAUGCCGCGUGUGUGAAGAAGGCCUUUGGGUUAGUAAAGCUAACUUUAAGGUUAGGAAAGAAAAACGUACGACUACUAACAACGAGU